rnacentral:rRNA from 1 species
CCUACGGGAGGCAGCAGUGGGGAAUAUUGCACAAUGGGGGAAACCCUGAUGCAGCGACGCCGCGUGAGCGAAGAAGUAUUUCGGUAUGUAAAGCUCUAUCAGCAGGGAAGAAAAUGACGGUACCUGAGUAAGAAGCUCCGGCUAAAUACGUGCCAGCAGCCGCGGUAAUACGUAUGGAGCAAGCGUUAUCCGGAUUUACUGGGCGUAAAGGGAGCGUAGGCGGCCUGCCAAGUCUGAUGUGAAAUACCGGGGGCCAACCCCGGGGCUGCAUUGGAAACUGGCAGGCUGGAGUGCGGGAGAGGCAGGCGGAAUUCCUAGUGUAGCGGUGAAAUGCGUAGAUAUUAGGAGGAACACCAGUGGCGAAGGCGGCCUGCUGGACGGUGACUGACGCUGAGGCUCGAAAGCGUGGGGAGCAAACAGGAUUAGAUACCCGAGUAGUC